rnacentral:rRNA from 1 species
UGGGGAAUUUUGGACAAUGGGGGCAACCCUGAUCCAGCAAUGCCGCGUGUGUGAAGAAGGCCUUCGGGUUGUAAAGCACUUUUGUCCGGGAAGAAAUCCCCUGCCCUAAUACGGCGGGGGGAUGACGGUACCGGAAGAAUAAGCACCGGCUAACUACGUGCCAGCAGCCGCGGUAAUACGUAGGGUGCGAGCGUUAAUCGGAAUUACUGGGCGUAAAGCGUGCGCAGGCGGUGAUGUAAGACCGAUGUGAAAUCCCCGGGCUCAACCUGGGAACUGCAUUGGUGACUGCAUUGCUCGAGUAUGGCAGGAGGGGGUGGAAUUCCACGUGUAGCAGUGAAAUGCGUAGAGAUGUGGAGGAAGCACCGACUGGCGAAGGCAGCCCCCGUGGGCCCAAUACGUGACGCUCAUGCACGAAAGGCGUGGGGGAGCAAACAGGAUUAGAUACCCCUGGUAGUCCACGCCCCUAAACGAUGUCAACUGGUUGUCGGGCCUUUCAUUGGCUUGGUAACGUAGCUAACGCGUGAAGUUGACCNCC